UUUAGUUACGAGACGGCGUACGCGUCGGUUGUGCGCAUUCGUUGUUCGCUUGAUAUGUACUUAACUACUAGUGAAAUCCCGCGAGUGUAUUUAUCGAUACCUGGAGUAUUAGCUUUUUGCAAUGACACGUGAAGGACUCUACGGUCGUCCGGAUGAUGAGUUUCAAUCAUCAUCCGGUAAUGUUUCCGAUGACGAAGAUAUUGUACUAAGGAAGAACAAAGUGAAAGAUAUGAUAGUUCGUUUUGAAAAAACAUCACUAACAAACAGUUGCCGUGGUUCUAGUGAAUCCUUAGAAAAAUCUAAAGACACAUUGAGUUUAACGAGUGUUGUUAGUCCGAUACAAGCUCAUUUCCAACAUUUGUAUCCAGUCACAAAAUCUCAAGAUAGAAAUUCAAACGUAUCAGUGAAUUCUUUGCUAUCGAACAUAUCGGAAAAUGGGUAUGAUUCGAGUUCUUCUGGUUUUGUCUCUGAUAGAAAGUCCUGUAGAGCAAGUUUGCAACCUCACAGACCUGCUCCACCACCACCUGAACCUUUUAAUGAUAGUUCUUCAUUAGAAAGUAAAUCGCCUGCGCCGGAGGAAACUAGGUUUACAGAAAGGAGGUAUUCCUUUACAACUCCUAACACAUCGCCUCAAGCAAAACGACGCUCGCGACCACCACCUGUUAUACGAAGAAAAUCAUCGGCAAACGGCCAAACACACUUUGGAGGAGAAACCCUUUGGACUUACGGUGUUAGUCAAACCGAAUUGGAAAAGUUAUUGAGACUUAAAAGAUCAGUACCCUCUGACAACGAGGAUGAAGCAAAAAGUGAUAGUAACGAUUCGGAUGCAGGUAGUAGUAGUGACAGUGAUAAGUCGAAUAGGGGUGCAGAAUACGUUGUCAAUAAAGAUGACGAUGCAACGGACACUUUAUCAACGGAUCAUUCGACUGAUACGUUGAUAAAUGAAGACGAUGGUGAAGAGCAGGACAAUGUUUCAAUUAAUUCAGGUGAUUCUAGUGAAAAUAGUACAAGUAAUAUGGACAAUGUUGACAAUGUUAGUAUUAAAUCUAUAUCAUCAUUUGAUAUGGUUCCGUAUCAAAAGUACGAUAGCAUAACAAUAUCAUCAGACGAGUACGGUUCGGAGGUGUGUCAUGCACCCUCUACAGAAUUCCUUACAGUGAGUGCAGUGAAUGAAUGGUGCAUAUCGCAAUCAGUAGAACCUGUAGUCAUUCCAGUGGAAUCUAAAAAACAAAAGUAUCGAAGACGAUUAACGGAACGUGUCAAUGAGUUGUUACACACCGAGCAUGUAUAUGUGGAACGAUUGAGGCAUGUUGUUGAGAACUAUAUGCCGGAGUUAGGUCUAAGAGGACAUGACACUCGCAUGCCACCGUUAUUGAUGCAGCUCAAGUCAGCUAUUUUCGGCAACAUCGAAGACGUAUUCAAAUUUCAUUCCGAAGAGUUCCUACCAGCAAUGAGAGACUGUGAAAAUGACCUUAGGAAAUUAGGACAAUGUUUCAGGAAGUUUGAGAAAAAAUUUAACAUGUACGUGAUGUACUCUAGAAAUAACAAGAAUGCUAUUAGACUAGUGUAUGAAUACAAGGAGUUCUUUCAGAAAAGACAAUUUGAAAUGAAUGAUAGACUAGACUUGUCGAGUUAUCUGUUAGAACCAAUACAAAGGAUUCCACGAUACAAACUAUUUCUACUGGAUCUAGUGAAAACAUAUACAGCAUAUGAGAACGAGAGAUCUGAUUCAGACUCUCGAAUAUCUAAACUGAGUGUUGAUAGCGACGAGACGGGAGGCAGUAAUGGAGAAUCUUCCGAUAAUGAAGAAACGCCUUUGGAAAGUUUAAAGCAAGCAAAAACCAUGAUUGAAAGGAUCUUGACAGCGAUCGAUGAAAUUAUGGCGUUGGAGAAUAUUAAAGAUUGCCCGGCUGAGCUGAAUCUGUUGCAACAAGGACGCUUGCUGCGACAAAAUGAAUUUUAUGCGAUGGACGUCGUUCGACGGCGAAGACAGCUUGUAAGAAUAUUCCUGUUCGAUAAACUGGUUCUGAUCACCGUAGUGUAUAGAAAGAGCCCAAGAGUGGAGUGCUUCAUGUACAAAGACCACAUACCUGUGGAUGAUCUAGGUAUCACGGCAAAAGUAGAAGAUCACUUUAAAUUCUCUAUAUGGUACAAGAAGAGAAACCUCAAGUCCUACAAGCUGGAAACCAGUGACACAGCCGUCAGAGCAGCGUGGGUGGAAGAAAUCACUACAUUGCUUUGGGAGCAGGCUAUGCAAAAAAAAGAACUGUUGAUGGAGCAGCGCAAGAAACGGAUCUCGACGAUUUCGAUGAAUACGCAACAGUCCGACGACAGUGACGGCAGAAACGAUGAUAAAUAAUUAACACAGAAGAAAUAAAUCCAAAUCCAUUAUAAUAAAAUACAAAGUGUAGAUAACUCACUUCGGGGAGUACCAGGCGAGGUUCGUAAUAAUGGAGAGAAGAAGAUACGAAGGACCACGUGGUAUUGUGAAUGACUUGACAAUAAUGUAGUUGAUGCAUUUCAAUGUGUUAUUUUUAAUAAUAGGUUAUCAUUGCCAAAUAUAAAUAAUCCUGAUUCUAUUGAUUCGCAAGGAUUGUAAAUUGCAAAAAGUAUUAACAUUUAUUUUUUAUACAAAUUUAAAAUACAUGUAAGCAUAAUAUUAAUGUUGUUUAUGUCUAAGAUUAAGUGGGAGCAGAGAAUAAACUAGGUAUGAAAUUUGAUAAAAUGAGGAGAUAGGGGAAUAAUCAUACAUUUAUUAUAUUAUUGCCAAAGACAUAUUUAAUGGAUAAUGCAAAUAUAGGUACAUGAAUGCUUAGAUAUUUUUAGCGUUAUAAAUAUGUUUAUGUCACUAUUCGUGUAUUAGUGAUAAACAUAUUGAAAGUAGAAAAAGAACAAAACGACAAAGCCCUAACGGGUCAUAAACUUAAGGGUCGCCAAAAAGUCGUAACAGAAUUUUAUAUAUAUUAAAAAAAAUAUGUUAUUCGAAAAUAUAUUUAAUUUCCUAUUAUUGUAGAAAUAUCAGUCAUUAAUAUGUUGAAUAUAUUAUGUUAUUUAAUGUUUAGAUUUUUGUAAAUAAUUAUUAUUGUUAUUAUAGACGAUAGUAUAUCAACAAAAUAAUUAUCAAAAUAAAAUAAUCAUUGACAGCA